CAGUCGCCGCGGUAAUACGUAGGUGGCAAGCGUUGUCCGGAAUUAUUGGGCGUAAAGGGCUCGCAGGCGGUUUCUUAAGUCUGAUGUGAAAGCCCCCGGCUCAACCGGGGAGGGUCAUUGGAAACUGGGAAACUUGAGUGCAGAAGAGGAGAGUGGAAUUCCACGUGUAGCGGUGAAAUGCGUAGAGAUGUGGAGGAACACCAGUGGCGAAGGCGACUCUCUGGUCUGUAACUGACGCUGAGGCACGAAAGCGUGGGGAGCAAACAGGAUUAGAUACCCGCGUAGUCCCUGUCUCUUAUAA
rnacentral:rRNA from 1 species